AAGACUAUAGACCUGCGGAGUACCUGCGGAGGGAUCAUUACCGAGUUAGGGUAGUCACUCACUGCCCGACCUCCCAACCCUGUGUCUACCACACUUUGUCGUUGCUUCGGCGGACCGGUUGACCAACUGGCCGUGACCGCCGGGGGCUGGCUCUGUCCCCCCUGGAGAGCGUCCGUCGAUGGCCCAACCACAAAACUCUUGUACCGAAACGUGUCGUCUGAAUUAUAUUUGAGAAAUCAA
rnacentral:misc_RNA from 1 species